GGUUCCAUAGCUAUGUGGUAGAGCGAUUAACUGCAGAUCAAUUAGGUCACAGGUUCCAACCCGGUUGGACCCU
rnacentral:tRNA from 1 species